GUCCACGCAGUAAACGAUGAGUGCUAGGUAUUAAUUUUUUAGUGCCGAAGCUAACGCGUUAAGCACUCCGCCUGAGGAGUACGGCCGCAAGGCUAAAACUUAAAGGAAUUGACGGGGACCCGCACAAGCGGUGGAACAUGUGGUUUAAUUCGAUGCUACGCGAAAAACCUUACCAGGUCUUGACAUGCUAGUCACACCCUAAGAAACUAGGGGUCGGUUCGGCCGGACUAGCACAGGUGUUGCAUGGCUGUCGU
rnacentral:rRNA from 1 species